AGGACUAGUAUGAACGGCCCCACGAGAGCUGUACUGUCUCCCCCCCUCAAUCAGUGAAACUGAUCUCCCCGUGAAGAAGCGGGGACAUCCCCAUAAGACGAGAAGACCCCAUGGAGCUUUAAACUUACACCACUGCUUUCCCCCACCAAAUAAUUUAUGCAAUAUGGUGCUAAGUCUUUCGGCUGGGGCGACCGCGGAGAAAAACAAAACCUCCAUGAUGAAAGGACACCCUAAUUAAAGAGCCACUGCUCUAAAAAUCAAUAAAUUGACAUAAAUUGACCCAAAUUUUUUUGAUCAACGAACCUAGUUACCC
rnacentral:rRNA from 1 species